UAAUCAGGAGCAACGAACGAAAUUUCAUCCUAAUUUCCGCCAUUUUGAAAAAAACAAUUUAGCCUACAUCUCACUACAAAUCGCACAGGAAUUAAAAACUUUUCUUUGAUUUAACACAGAUCCACUAGGCUACUCUGUGUAGUAAUUACCGCAUUUACAUUAGUAGUAGCCUGUCUAAUAAAAUAUAGCCUAAUCCAAAUAAUGCCGCCUAAAAGAAUGUUUGAAAAAUAUAGGGCAUAGGGCCCUACAGAAGAGGAGUGUUUUCCGCACUCAAGAGGAAAGAGGCUGUAGGGAACUUAGAGACUAAACCUUACCAACAUACUGGAUUUCUGGUGAUGAUAAUAGCAACAGAUAGUAUGCUGCUCAGUUAAUACUAAAAACAAUUGAUUUUAAUAAUUAGUGGACUAUGAGUGUGUGUUUGGCCAUCCAGAUUUCAUAACUACAACUGAUGUUCAAUUACAAUGGAUAUUAAUCAGUCUCUGUGGACUAUACACUGUGCCUAGCUUCAUCCCCAGAGACUGAUGUGUAAGCUUAAAGUAAAGACAUCAAAUCAAAGUAUCAGCAAUCAAGAGGAAAAACAUUCAAAAUCAUAUUGUGAUACACAAGUCAAGGAAGUCUAUGACACAGGCUUAUGAUACAGGCCAAGAAAAAGCUGGAUACUUGAUUGGAAGGGUGGCACAAAAAAGAUGGGUUAUCACUAGGGAAACAAGCUCGGAAUACAGUUCACUGUUGGGACAUCAAGCCAAAUACUUCUAAACUUAUUUGAAUCAUUUUUGCUGUUUAUUAUAAUUCAUCCAAUUGUCUUAUAAAAUAUAUAAAUUUAUAUAUAUACACAAUUCCUAAUAUAGAAUUUCUAAAAAUGUUUUAUUAUAAUAUUUAAAAAUGAAACAAACAUGUUCCCAGAACACAGCCACAUAAUGGCAACAUGUUCCCAGAACACAGCCAAAAUAAUGUCAACAUGUUCCCAGAACACACAAAAUGUCAUUAUGUGCCCAGAAAACACAAAAUGGCAACAUGUUCCCAGAACACACAAAAUGGCAACAUGUGACGAGAAAACAAGAAAUGACAACAUGUGCCGAGAACAAUUAUCUUUACUGUGGUGGAUAUAGCCAAUAAAAUAGGGUAACCUUCAUUAUAUGCAAUUUGUAGUUUUCAAUGCCUGUCCCAUGCAUAUUAUUUAGCCUAGUGUUUUGGGCCUUGCUUCAUUUACUCAAUAAAUUAUAUAGGCAUGAGAAUUUUCAUUUUAAUCUGCAAAAGCUACAUUCUGUACAUUAUUAUUUUCAAACUACAUCAUGUAUUUUUCUCUUCUCUGAUAAAAAAUAUUCCUCAUAUUGUUUGUGUCAAGUAUUUUAUUUUUAUCUAUGCAAUGCUAUAUUCUUAUUUUAUAAUAAUUACUUUUAUACAAAUUCUUUUGAAAACUGUUCUUUAUUGAUUUGUAUUAUUUUCUUUAUUUCUGAAAAAUAAAACUUUGUUUGGGA